GGCAGGAAGCGAGGUGGUCACAUGACAAGACAACAACAACAAAAAACGAAAGCGGCCUUGUCGCCGACCAUCUGACCGUCGUUUCCGGGGCCGAGCGCUACUAAUCCCCUGGCAAUCCGUGCAACUAAAAGCCGCUGACCUGGAGGCCGGCCUGCGCUGCUGCGCCGAGGUAUGCUGGCGCUAACGUUAGCACCAGUGUUAACGAUAUCGGCAUGGAGGGAGGGCUCGCGUGGAAAGGACACAGUCAGUCAUGCGAUGAGGCAGCGCGUGAGAUGAAAAGGGAACUUUUACAGUGAGCCCUGCUAUAUUACAAUUAAUCAUUCACACCCCUGCUAUAUUGCAAAUUGAUUUUAAAUAUUGCACGCUCUGUUUGCUGUGUUGCUGCUCCGUGUGCGUUAGUGGCAGUUGUUUGAAGGUUUAGAAUUAGAAUAACAUCGAUGCCAAUUUCCAUUAGCCAGUCUUUAGCGUUGCGCACUACAUUUUAGCAUUAAGCUAGGUACUUUCGUUCUAGUUAUAUAUAAAAUAAAGUUAUAUAAAUAUAAUUGUUUUUUUAAUAUGGUCUCUACAUCUACUGAAGUCAUUACAUUUUGUAAAACGUACACCACGGAUGGGGAUUUCUCAUUAUAUUAUUUCCAGAUGGGUGGUCACAUGACUGUUUAGGAGUGGCUAUGAUCAUUUUCCCAUUUUAAUUAGGAGUGUAUCACUUGUUUCAGUAAAUUUGAAAUAGUCACAUUGAUUUUAUUACUAAUUUUGAAAUGCCUACUUACUUUUCACCCACCCUGUAGCUCGUAGAUUUUCACCUAUCACGCGUGGAAUAGAAUGCAUCCCCUGCAAUAAACAGGGGUUCACGAUACUUCCAUUUUUUUGGGUUUUUUUUACCGGCAAAAAGCAGAUUUAAGCAGUGCGAGCACACGAGUCUCUCAAGUCCCGUUUGUCAGUCGUGUACAAGUGCUGGCCUACAUUUCACACUCAGACAAUGUUUAUUCUCUUCCAGCUACACGUCGCAAAUGGGUCAACGCCUCUUCUGUCGUACAGUUGAUGACCACGCUCAUCAGUAGCGGUGUCCUAAAAAAUACCGCUUCGAAGUAAUUUCCCGUGUAAAAUAUUAAUUCAGCCUAAAUAAGGAAACACCACAAAAGAUCGCAAACCAUCUGACAAAAAUAUGCGAAAAAAAGAGCUAUGAAUUAAGAACUUAAACCCUGGUACAUGACAAUCAGUAUAUACCACCCAAAUGUGACAAUAGGAAUAUGAUUGGUAAUUUCAUGGCAUCAUUGCUUUUCGGUCUAUAAAAUAAGUUUGUACUUGUAGAAAUAAUAGCUCACGUAUGCUAAACAGCCUUUUUCUUCCAGAAUUUCUAUGCUUGACUCUUUCAACACUCACAAAAAAAGAAAAAUUAGUUUUCCACAAACUACAAGAUGAUAGUGCAAGGAUUUCUAAUCCCCAGCUGUCAAUUAUCUUGUCUAAUGAGACUGGAAUAAAUGGAGGAAAAGUCAGGAGGAUGAUUCCAGAGAUUUUCACUUUGAGGUUACCGCAUGGGCUUCGUGUUAAUCACACGGCCGUAAUUAAACGACGUCUGAUCCAACCCGGCCGGUGACGCCCUUCUGCGUUCUAAGACGACGAACAAACAAAGUGCUAUAAUGGUUUUGUUUUCAGCUCUAAAUUGCUUUAUUGGGUUCAUUUUGGUAGGCUCAACAAUGGAGGUGACUUGUAUUGUAAAAUUCCAAGAAUUACAUUAACGGUAAUAAACUAAACAACCAUAUUUAACGCAAGUACAUUUAACUGUGAAGAUCCCAUUGCCUGAAAAUGUUUUUAAAAAUGCAGAGGAAAUAAUUUUCACAUAUUUUGGUCUUGUUUAGCAACAGUAUUUGUUAUCUUUUUGGCAUGAGGUCUAACAGAUACUCCGUUUAAAUUUAUUUCACAGCAUCUUUUUCCACUUAUAAUGAUCUAUUUCAGAUUCCUACUGCUUGCUAUAGUAAAGCCAUUACAAGGAGUUGGUUAAAUUGGAAAAACCUACGGCAGGUAAGUGGAUUGACAUUCUCUGUGACAUUUUUAAGAUGGAAAGUAUUACACUUGCCAUAAAACUACAACAAAGUGCCUUUCUGAAAACCUGGCAAAGAUUGCUCUGGGAUGUUACGCGAGUACAACCAACUUUCAUCAAUUGCUAAGUUGCAUAAUCCUUUUGUUAUAUAUUCUGCCCCUCUCUUUUUCAUUUUUAAAGUUUUGUUUUUGAUAUCAUAAAGAUACGCCCCAGGAUUUUUGUUCUCGGGAGUUUAGAUGGCAUAACAGAUCGUCUUACAAUACGGUGGAAGGAGCAAGCAUUAUCUUCAUCUCUGUACUAUUAAUACAGUAUGUAGACGUGGAUAUCCUGUGGAGAUUCAACGGUAAUACACGGAUCAGUGGAUGCAAAUGAUGAAAUCAAUGUUAGUAAACGUGAACCAUGUUUAAUUGCAAUAAAAAGAGAACUCACAAAGUCGAGCGCCGAGCGAGUCUUGUGGUGCUUUUUAGCGCUCCCAGGGUACUUGAUCUUUUAUUUCAGAGUAAACAAAGACAUUGCGGAGCGUCCCGACUGUCACCGCCUCGACUGGUUUGAAGAGGGAAAAUAAUCGAGGAAUGUGAGGCAUGUGCGUACGAUCCCAAUAAAACUGUCGCAGGGAGCGGAGGUCGGCAGGAUGAGAAUCUAAUUCAACGGCAAGAAGAACGCAUUCAAGUUUGGAGUCUUUGCAAACUCUCGCAGUUCCAAUCAAGAUGACGGCCUUCAAAGGGAAACCAUCAUCUCUGGCCCGGCGGCGAGGAGGAAAGGUUUGGACUUCCUCUCGAGGGAGCCGAACUCUCCAAGAGUCUCCACCCAGAUGACUGAGCAGAAAGAGGAAACGGACCUCGUGACGCAGUGACAUCACUCAGACAGCAUGUCGAAACUCUGAGUUUGCAAGCUGAUGCUGACACCACAAGAUCAGCGGCCAGGUCCCUCUCAGAACAUUCCUGUUUGAAGCCUCGCAAUGCGAGUGAGUUUUGCAGAACGUCAAAUGAAGGUCAGCUCAGAGGCCAAUUCUUGUUUGAAGCCUCAUACUGCUGAUCAAUUGUUAGAUCUUGGUGUCACUCACCAUCUCAACCUUUUCCCCCCUCAUAAUAUUCACAUUUUGUAAUAUUACAACUUUUUUCAGCAUAAGUCUUUUGUUCUCCAACACUUUUCCCCCCUCUUGAAAUUUUUCUCUCAUAAUAUUGUGAUUGUAAUUUUGUUCAUAAUAUUCAGUUUUUUUUCCAUGAAAUAUUGUGAUGUUAUACUCUCAUAUUACAACUUUAUUCUC